rnacentral:rRNA from 1 species
AGCGAACGCUGGCGGCAGGCCUAACACAUGCAAGUCGAACGGGCUCUUCGGAGCUAGUGGCGGACGGGUGAGUAACACGUGGGAACGUGCCUUUAGGUUCGGAAUAAGCCCGGGAAACUGGGUCUAAUACCGAAUGUGCCCUUCGGGGGAAAGAUUUAUCGCCUUUAGAGCGGCCCGCGUCUGAUUAGCUUGUUGGUGAGGUAAUGGCUCACCAAGGCGACGAUCAGUAGCUGGUCUGAGAGGAUGACCAGCCACAUUGGGACUGAGACACGGCCCAAACUCCUACGGGAGGCAGCAGUGGGGAAUCUUGCGCAAUGGGCGAAAGCCUGACGCAGCCAUGCCGCGUGGAUGAUGAAGGUCUUAGGAUUGUAAGAUCCUUUCACCGGUGAAGAUAAUGACUGUAGCCGGAGAAGAAGCCCCGGCUAGCUUCGUGCCAGCAGCCGCCGCCGUAA